GACGAACGCUGGCGGCGUGCCUAAUACAUGCAAGUCGAGCGAAGCGGUGGAUGGGUGAGUAACGCGUGGGUAACCUGCCCUAAAGUCUGGGAUACCAUUUGGAAACAGAUGCUAAUACCGGAUACUUAGGGAUGGACUUGCGGGGCAUUAGCCAGUUGGGAAGGUAACGGCUUACCAAGGCGAGGAUGCAUAGCCGGGUGGAGAGACUGAUCGGCCACAUUGGAACUGAGACACGGCCCAGACUCCUACGGGAGGCAGCAGUAGGGAAUCUUCCACAAUGGACGAAAGUCUGAUGCAGCCAUGCCGCGUGUAUGAAGAAGGCCUUCGGGUUGUAAAGUACUUUCAGCGAGGAGGCGUUACUCGCAGAAGAAGCACCGGCUAACUCCGUGCCAGCAGCCGCGGUAAUUC
rnacentral:rRNA from 1 species